GACGAACGCUGGCGGCGUGCUUAACACAUGCAAGUCGAACGGUGAAGCGCCUUCCUUUUUGGUGGGUGUGGAUGAGUGGCGAACGGGUGAGUAGCACGUGAGUAACCUGCCCCCUUCUUCUGGAUAACCGCAUGAAAGUGUGGCUAAUACGGGAUAUUCUGGGUCUGUCGCAUGAUGGGUCUGGGAAAGAUAUUGUUUCGGUGGGGGAUGGGCUCGCGGCCUAUCAGCUUGUUGGUGGGGUGAUGGCCUACCAAGGCGGUGACGGGUAGCCGGCCUGAGAGGGUGGACGGUCACACUGGGACUGAGACACGGCCCAGACUCCUACGGGAGGCAGCAGUGGGGAAUAUUGCACAAUGGGCGCAAGCCUGAUGCAGCGACGCCGCGUGAGGGAUGGAGGCCUUCGGGUUGUGAACCUCUUUCGCCAGUGAAGCAGGCCUGCCUCGUUUGUGGGUGGGUUGACGGUAGCUGGAGAAGAAGCGCCGGCUAACUACGUG
rnacentral:rRNA from 1 species